UACGAAGGGGGCGAGCGUUGUUCGGAAUUACUGGGCGUAAAGGGCGCGUAGGCGGCCAGCACAAGUCAGUUGUGAAAUCUCCGAGCUUAACUCGGAAAGGUCAACUGAUACUGUGCGACUAGAGUGCAGAAGGGGCAACUGGAAUUCUCGGUGUAGCGGUGAAAUGCGUAGAUAUCGAGAGGAACACCUGCGGCGAAGGCGGGUUGCUGGGCUGAUACUGACGCUGAGGCGCGAAAGCUAGGGGAGCAAACAGG
rnacentral:rRNA from 1 species